rnacentral:tRNA from 1 species
UGGCUCAAUGGUAGAGCAUUUGACUCAAAUACCAAUGGUCGUGGGUUCGAAUCCCAG